rnacentral:rRNA from 1 species
UACGAAGGGGGCUAGCGUUGUUCGGAAUUACUGGGCGUAAAGGGCGCGUAGGCGGCUUCGCUAGUCGGGUGUGAAAUGCCUGGGCUCAACCCAGGAACUGCACUCGAAACUCCGAGGCUAGAGUGUGGGAGAGGAUAGUGGAAUUCCCAGUGUAGAGGUGAAAUUCGUAGAUAUUGGGAAGAACACCGGUGGCGAAGGCGGCUAUCUGGACCACAACUGACGCUGAGGCGCGAAAGCGUGGGGAGCAAACAGG